rnacentral:tRNA from 1 species
GGCAUGCGCUGGGUGUUGGUUAGAGCGCCAGUCUUGUAAACUGGAGGUUGAGGGUUCGAAUUCCUCUGGAGCCU